AACGGAACCUGCAGCUACUUCAUCGCGCCGAAACGGAGGUCGUCGUGGUCGUGGUUCACAUGCACAAAAAAGAUGGACAUCACAUCCAGAUUGAAUACAAAAGAGUUUGCUGUGGUCAUCUUUCUCAAAGCCAACACAGUGGACGCCGUCCCCACAAACUGGAUAGAGAGGACA